rnacentral:lncRNA from 1 species
GCGCGCUGCAGAGGGGCAGGACUCGUGCCGCCUACCCCCCUGCUCACUCUGGUGUGCUGCAGAAGCACUCACCCGCACUCCUCUGCCCCUUUCAGAUCCCGCUUGCUACAGAUACAGCCCGGAGCGGCUGAAGAAAGCGAAGUCGUGCCAGCCCAUGGACGAGGUGCCCCCGCAGGCACGGCAGGGGCGCCGGCAAUCGGAGCCCUUCCACCUCCGGCGCCGCAGGGAGAAGCUCCCGGAUGGACUGCAUGGUGGUGUGGGGUCGGGGCCGCAGGCCGCAGGAAGUCUGGUGCGAGCUCCCCUCUACAGCCUGGGGCACAGUGUGGUGUGGGGAUGGGAGCUGCGGUGCUCUGGGCUUGGUGAUUCCUGGCACAUGGUACUCUUGGGGCCAAUCACAGGGAUGCGGUGAGGAGGCCUGGUGAACGCACCUCUCCAGCCCCCCGCGGCGGGCCUGAGGGGCCGUCGGGUGGCAGAUGGGCUGCCCUGGGGCUCCGCUUUCCAGGAGCGGGAGGCGGUGGUGGAGGAGCUGCGGCGUUGGAGAAGCGCGUUCCCGGUGCCCUGGGGCUGCGCUGGGCUUGGGUGGCGCCUGUGCCCUGCAGGGUCUGGGGCUGGGCAGAAAGCAGACGUCCCCCAGCUGCGACCCCGGGGGGGCCGGGCCUGUCCCACACCUGUCGGUCGCAUCACCGGGGGGCAGGGUACAACUGGCAGGCCUCUCACUUGCUGUUUUCCCCACAGAGCCUGCCAAGCAGAUUGUCAAGCAGCUGGGUGAGAAAGGACUGAAGGUAAGAUCAUAGAGCCACAAGGUGAGACGGGACCGCAAGGGUCGUCUAGCCUAGCCCCUGCCAAGCUGCAGGAUCUGUUGUCUAAGCCAUCCAAGACCGCUGGUUAUCCAGCCUCCUUCUGAAAACCUCCAGCGAAGGAGCUUCCUCGACCUCCCUAGGCAGGUCUGUUCCGUUGUCGUCCUCUUCUUGCCGUUAGGAAGCUUUUCCUGAGAUUUGAUCUAAACCUGCAGUGCUGUCGUUUGAACCCAUUGCCUCUUGUCCUGCCCUCUGUGGCAAGAGAAACUUUUCUCCAUCUUUUUUAUGGCAGCCUUUCAAGUAUUUGAAGACCAGUAUGAUGUCUCCUCUUCAUCUCCUCUUUUCCGAACUACACAUACUCAGUUCCUUCAGCCUUUGCUCGUAUGACUUGCAUUCCAUCCCUUUGAUCAUCUUUGUCGCUUGCUUCUGGGUCCUUCCCAGUUUCUCUCUACAUCCUUUCUAUAGGUUGGUGACCAACAUUGGACACACUACUCCAGCUGAGGCCUCACCAGCGCCGUGUAGAGCGGUACUAUCACCUCCCAUGACUUGCAUGCUGUGCCUCUGUUAAUGCAACCCAAAAUU